GCCCCCCAUGUCCUGCUUGUUGCAAUCAAUUUCGAAAAGCAGAUGAACUCUCUGCCGGUCGACGCGGUAUGGGAAAUGCAUCGAGUAUGGAAAUGGUUCGACGACGAGCCUGAGCUGUGAGUUGGUAGUUUUCCCUGGAGCAACCCACAAGAUACCAAUGCUCUGCAUACUAAGUAUGGGUUGCGGCUUUCUACUUGGUAUGCUAUAUUAAACUUCUCCUCCGUAAUAGGCGCGUGGGGAUUGUCACCGGGGCUGGUAAAAAGGCUUUCUCUGCCGGAAUGGAUCUGAAAGUUAUUUGAAAAUCUGCUCUAAUUCGCCUCAUAACUUUCGUUGCGUCCUAUCCACCCUAGCGAAAGAGUAUCCAGGCUUAUCGGUAUGCUCGCAAGGAUGACAGAGCGUCAAUCAUUGUCAACGUCUGAUUUUGAUUCUGCCGCACGCCUAAACGCAUAUCCCUCCACCGGGUUUGCCGGGCUCACUCGGCGAAAUGGCAGAAAGCCAAUAAUAGCAGCUUGCAACGGGCAUGCGCAUGGCGGCGGUUUUGAAAUCGUUCUCAGCAGCGACAUCGUGAUCGCGUCGGAAAAUGCGGAUUUCCGACUUCCGGAUGUUUUACGGGGAACAGCAGCUAUGGCUGGCGCGUUCCCACGACCCAUUGAUGACCUCAUUAAGGAAGCGGUGGAUGUUGCGAAACUCAUUGCUAGCAUGAGCCCCGAUAGUGUAAUUGUCACCCGAGCCGGUAUACGGCAGGCGUGGGA
rnacentral:sRNA from 1 species